GAUGAACGCUGGCGGCGUGCUUAACACAUGCAAGUCGAACGAUGAUCCCCAGCUUGCUGGGGGGAUUAGUGGCGAACGGGUGAGUAACACGUGAGUAACCUGCCCUUGACUCUGGGAUAAGCCUGGGAAACUGGGUCUAAUACCGGAUAUGACCUUCCAUCGCAUGGUGGUUGGUGGAAAGCUUUUGUGGUUUUGGAUGGACUCGCGGCCUAUCAGCUUGUUGGUGGGGUAAUGGCCUACCAAGGCGACGACGGGUAGCCGGCCUGAGAGGGCGACCGGCCACACUGGGACUGAGACACGGCCCAGACUCCUACGGGAGGCAGCAGUGGGGAAUAUUGCACAAUGGGCGCAAGCCUGAUGCAGCGACGCCGCGUGAGGGAUGACGGCCUUCGGGUUGUAAACCUCUUUCAGUAGGGAAGAAGCGAAAGUGACGGUACCUGCAGAAGAAGCGCCGGCUAACUACGUGCCAGCAGCCGCGGUAA
rnacentral:rRNA from 1 species